GCGCCCGUAGCUCAGUGGUUAGAGCACCGCCCUUAUAAGGCGGGGGUCGACGGUUCAAAUCCAUCCGGGCGCACCA
rnacentral:tRNA from 1 species